AUUGAACGCUGGCGGCAUGCUUUACACCUGCAAGUCGAACGGUAACAGGGGAGCUUGCUCCCGCUGACGAGUGGCGAACGGGUGAGUAAUGCAUCGGAACGUGCCGAAUAGUGGGGGAUAACGCACCGAAAGGUGUGCUAAUACCGCAUACGCCCUGAGGGGGAAAGUGGGGGACCGCAAGGCCUCACGCUAAUCGAGUGGCCGAUGUCGGAUUAGCUAGUUGGUGGGGUACAGGCUCACCAAGGCGACGAUCCGUAGCGGGUCUGAGAGGAUGAUCCGCCACACUGGGACUGAGACACGGCCCAGACUCCUACGGGAGGCAGCAGUGGGGAAUUUUGGACAAUGGGGGAAACCCUGAUCCAGCCAUGCCGCGUGUCUGAAGAAGGCCUUCGGGUUGUAAAGGACUUUUGUCCGGGAGGAAACCCUGAUCGUUAAUAGCGGUCGGGACUGACAGUACCGGAAGAAUAAGCACCGGCUAACUACGUGCCAGCCGCCGCAGUAA
rnacentral:rRNA from 1 species